UACGGGGGGGCAAGCGUUGUUCGGAAUUACUGGGCGUAAAGGGCUCGUAGGCGGCCAACUAAGUCAGACGUGAAAUCCCCAGGCUCAACCUGGGAACUGCAUCCGAUACUGGAUGGCUUGAAUUCGGGAGAGGGAUGCAGAAUUCCAGGUGUAGCGGUGAAAUGCGUAGAUAUCUGGAGGAAUACCGGUGGCGAAGGCGGCAUCCUGGACCGACAUUGACGCUGAACGGCGAAAGCUAGGGAGCAAACGGG
rnacentral:rRNA from 1 species